AUGGUUAGUCUCAAACAAUAUCUUGGGGUUCCGAGUUCAAGUCUCACUUGGUUUUUAUCUUUAUCUUUUUUUUAUCAGGGCAUACAAUUUGUUAUGUUUGAAAUCCAAAGCAAAUGGGUGGCAGCAGUCUUGUCAAGGCGGGUUACACUUCCCACAGAAGAUAAGAUGAUGGAAGAUAUUAGUGCGUGGUAUGCAUCGCUUGAUGCGGUAGGCAUUCCUAAAAGAUAUACACAUAAAUUGGGUAAAAUUCAGGUGAGUACCUUAUAUUCUGAAUAUGAUUACAUGCCUAUAUCUAAAUAAAUUCGAUUAGUUCAAAAUCAUUUUUUCACGUUUUCUUGUGAAUUUUUUUUUUUGAAACAUAAUUCACAUGUUUUAAUUAUAAAACCUCUUUUUGUUCACCAUAAAAAGUUUCUGCAAAGAAAAAAUGCAAACGUAAGGCUUUUAAUUUUUAGAUUUACAAUUAACAAAGUAUUUUUUUUUUUUUGCCUAAAAUUGUUGAUGAACUUUUUUUAAAAAACUGAACUAAUAGAAAUUCAAGUAAAAUGUAAACAAACAAUCAAAGAAAUAUUAUCGACUCAAGAAUAAAAUCAUGUCAAUGACUUUGUUUGAAAAAAAUAUAUUUCAUCUUGCAGAGUGAGUACCUCAAUUGGGUCGCAGAAGAAUGUGGUUGUCCGCUCGUUGAACAUUGGAGAAAUCAACAAAUCGUCCGCGGAUACCAGAGACUUGUCUCACACCCAGA
rnacentral:lncRNA from 1 species